rnacentral:rRNA from 1 species
GGGAGGCAGCAGUGGGGAAUUUUGGACAAUGGGCGCAAGCCUGAUCCAGCCAUGCCGCGUGAGUGAAGAAGGCCUUCGGGUUGUAAAGCUCUUUCGGCCGGGAAGAAAUCGCAUUGGUUAAUACCUGGUGUGGAUGACGGUACCGGAAUAAGAAGCACCGGCUAACUACGUGCCAGCAGCCGCGGUAAUACGUAGGGUGCGAGCGUUAAUCGGAAUUACUGGGCGUAAAGCGUGCGCAGGCGGUUUUGUAAGACAGGCGUGAAAUCCCCGGGCUCAACCUGGGAACUGCGCUUGUGACUGCAAGGCUAGAGUACGGCAGAGGGGGGUGGAAUUCCACGUGUAGCAGUGAAAUGCGUAGAGAUGUGGAGGAACACCAAUGGCGAAGGCAGCCCCCUGGGUCGAUACUGACGCUCAUGCACGAAAGCGUGGGUAGCAAACAGGAUUAGAUACCCUGGUAGUCCACGCCCUAAACGAUGUCAACUAGGUGUUGGGAGGGUAAAACCUUUUAGUACCGGAGCUAACGCGUGAAGUUGACCGCCUGGGGAGUACGGCCGCAAGGUUAAAACUCAGAGGAAUAGACGGGGACCCGCACAAGCGGUGGAUGAUGUGGAUUAAUUCGAUGCAACGCGAAAAACCUUACCUACCCUUGACAUGUCAGGAAGUCUUGAGAGAUUGAGAUGUGCCCGAAAGGGAACCUGAACACAGGUGCUGCAUGGCUGUCGUCAGCUCGUGUCGUGAGAUGUUGGGUUAAGUCCCGCAACGAGCGCAACCCUUGUCGUUAAUUGCCAUCAUUUAGUUGGGCACUUUAGCGAGACUGCCGGUGACAAACCGGAGGAAGGUGGGGAUGACGUCAAGUCCUCAUGGCCCUUAUGGGUAGGGCUUCACACGUCAUACAAUGGUCGGUACAAAGGGUCGCCAACCCGCGAGGGGGAGCCAAUCCCAGAAAGCCGAUCGUAGUCCGGAUUGCAGGCUGCAACUCGCCUGCAUGAAGUCGGAAUCGCUAGUAAUCGUGGAUCAGCAUGUCACGGUGAAUACGUUCCCGGGCCUUGUACACACCGCC